CCCUUAGAUGCUCUGGGCCGCACGCGCGCUACACUGGUCGAUGCAACGAGUUUCUUUCCUUGGCCGACAGGCCUGGGCAAUCUUUGAACAUCGAUCGUGAUCGGGAUAGAUUCUUGUAAUUUUUGAUCUUAAACGAGGAGUUCCUAGUAAACGCAAGUCAUCAGCUUGCAUUGAUUACGUCCCUGCCCUUUGUACACACCGCCCGUCGCACCUACCGAUUGAAUGGUCCGGUGAAAUCUCCGGACUGGCGUGAGUCGGAGCAAUCUGACAAACACCGGAAAGUUGAUUAAACCUUACCAUUUAGAGGAAGGUGAGGUCGUANCA
rnacentral:rRNA from 1 species